rnacentral:rRNA from 1 species
UACGUAGGGGGCAAGCGUUGUCCGGAUUUAUUGGGCGUAAAGAGCUCGUAGGCGGCUCAGUAAGUCGGGUGUGAAAACUCCAGGCUCAACCUGGAGACGCCACCCGAUACUGCUGUGGCUAGAGUCCGGUAGGGGAGCAUGGAAUUCCUGGUGUAGCGGUGAAAUGCGCAGAUAUCAGGAGGAACACCGGUGGCGAAGGCGGGUCUCUGGGCCGAUACUGACGCUGAGGAGCGAAAGCGUGGGGAGCGAACAGG